rnacentral:lncRNA from 1 species
CAGGAACUCCACAAGCCACGUCACCAGGAAAAAAGACAGAAGUCCUCCUGACUCUCCAAUUCAAAUUGGACCUGGGGUUUGAGGACCCUUCUCAGGACCCUACCAGUGUUCAUUCCCUCCAGUUCCCCUCUCUCUCCCACAUAUCCCAAAGUGUUGUCUACUCUCAAAAGUUCUUUGUUGAUGAGCUCACUGUGUUCAUCCAGUCUUCUCCCAAUAUCUGUGAGCAUCAUUAUGAGAUUUUGUUUACACUCUUUGUUGGGUGAGUCGGCUAUGUCUCCUGAUCUUGGAAAAGUGGCCUUAUGUAUGAGAUGCCUUUUGAGGCCCAGCAGUGUGCUUCCCUCCCA